rnacentral:snoRNA from 1 species
GCUGCUGCUGCUGCUGCUGCUGCUGCUGCUGUUGUGCUGCAGCAGCAGCAGCAGAAUAAUAUAAGCGGCGACAGGCUGUGUCUUUUAUUAUAUCUAUCAGCCAAUCUAU